AUUGAACGCUGGCGGCAUGCCUUACACAUGCAAGUCGAACGGUAACGGGCCUUCGGGCGCCGACGAGUGGCGAACGGGUGAGUAACGCAUCGGAACGUGCCCAGUGGUGGGGGAUAGCCCGGCGAGAGCCGGAUUAAUACCGCAUACGACCCACGGGUGAAAGCGGGGGACCUUCGGGCCUCGCGCCAUUGGAGCGGCCGAUGUCAGAUUAGGUAGUUGGUGGGGUAAAGGCCUACCAAGCCGACGAUCUGUAGCUGGUCUGAGAGGACGACCAGCCACACUGGGACUGAGACACGGCCCAGACUCCUACGGGAGGCAGCAGUGGGGAAUUUUGGACAAUGGGCGCAAGCCUGAUCCAGCCAUGCCGCGUGCGGGAAGAAGGCCUUCGGGUUGUAAACCGCUUUUGUCAGGGAAGAAAUCUUGCGGGCCAAUACCCUGCGAGGAUGACGGUACCUGAAGAAUAAGCACCGGCUAACUACGUGCCAGCAGCCGCCGUAAUAC
rnacentral:rRNA from 1 species